ACGGACUAAUCGCAAUUAUCAUUAUUAAACUUCCGGUAUAUCGGCGACGUUGCAGAUGCUAAGGUCGAGGGCAACUAUGUUGAUACGGACUAUAGUGUCUCCGGCGAUGAGAUGGUACCGAAGAUCAAAAGAAUAAAUGUUAUUCUAUUUAUUGGCUGAUAUUAUGAUGAAAGUAUCAAUAUAUUAGAGCUGUGAUAAAGUGGAUCCAACAUUAAAUAGGACAGUGGGUUAGCGCAGGGCAUCAACUCCGUUCCGUCCUACAAUUAAGUACAAACAAACAAAGAUAUGGAGGCUAAAAUCGCUUUUGUCUUCUGCUUACAAUUAUUCUUCUCAAAGGACAUAUUCUGCCAAUGCAUUGGCACUACUUUCUUACCAGAAACAUAUAGCGCUAUUGGCACUGGCAUUCCUAACCCUUUUACCAGUCAGCUAACAAUGCACAUACCUAACUUACCUGCGCCAAUGUUUUCUAUAUUAUCUGACAAUUUAAUUGUCGAUGGCACGGUAUCCGUCAGUGGAUCUCUGCCAUUCAUUGGCGCGGUGAGUCUUGAGGGUCAAGUGCCAACCGUCGGCGAAGCUUCAGUGAUGUACAACUGUGGUAACGGAGAGAUUGGCAUGGAGAGAACAACGCCAACUAGAUUGCCAUACGGCUUAUAAUAUAUUGUUGAGUAUUAGGAAUAAAUGUUUAAUUUACAAUA